UUUGGGACUGAUUCUCUCUUAUUUUGGUCUUGCCCAUGAUUCUUUGAUUGAUUUUCAUGGUUAAUUUAUAUGGUUACUAUAACUGUGCAUUUAAGUAUAUUUUUUAGGAUCCCGUGUAUAUUUUUCCUUGCUUGAAUCAUUGUGUACCUAGACUUUAUUACAUGUAGCAUGCUUACUGCUUUUGUUAUGGUAUAAUCAGUCAUCUGACUUAUUCUUUCCUUACUUGGUAUCCUAUACUCCUAUUCGAAUCAUGAGCCCCAGAUUUAGUUGAAUUAGGACCAUUGAUUGAUUCAAUUUGGUAUUGUUUCUAUAAUUAUAUACUCCUUACCCUAUUCUCUACUAUUUUUCGAAAACUAUACGUACUGCUAUUCCUUUCUCACUUAACACACACCAACACAUUGCAAUCUCUCUGAACUCUUUUUCAAAAACACUUAGUGCUCUCUUUUUCUCUAGUGUUUCUGUACAAACUCUCUCAUUCUUCUAUUGAACACUCAAUCGGCUAAAAGCCAAGAUUGAGUAAUCUUGGCUGUUAAUUUCAAAUGUUGGGGUUCUAUUGCAUUAUUUACUUGGUUUUGCCUGCUGCUUCCUUCUCUGCACACUGCUGCACUCACUCUCUACACACUUUGCUCUCCUUUGUGCACUAUGGC
rnacentral:lncRNA from 1 species